rnacentral:rRNA from 1 species
UACAGAGGUGCCAAGCGUUAGGCGGAAUCACUGGGCUUAAAGCGCGUGUAGGUGGACGGGUAAGUAUCUUGUGAAAUCCCACGGCUCAACCGUGGAACUGCUGGAUAUACUGCUUGUCUUGAGGCACUUAGGGGCAGCUGGAACAAAUGGUGGAGCGGUGAAAUGCGUAGAUAUCAUUUGGAACGCCAAAGGCGAAAGCAGGCUGGCUGGGAGUGAUCUGACACUGAGACGCGAAAGCCAGGGGAGCAAAACGGGGAUUAAGAAAACCCCCGGGUAGUCCC